UACAGAGGGGGCAAGCGUUAUUCGGAAUUAUUGGGCGUAAAGGGCGCGUAGGCGGCCUGGCAAGUGGAUGGUGAAAUCCCUCGGCUUAACCGAGGAACUGCCAUCCAGACUGCUUGGCUUGAGACCGGGAGAGGUGAGUGGAAUUCCCAGUGUAGCGGUGAAAUGCGUAGAUAUUGGGAGGAACACCAGUGGCGAAGGCGGCUAUCUGGACCGACAUUGACGCUGAGGCGCGAAAGCGUGGGGAGCAAACAGG
rnacentral:rRNA from 1 species